AAGCAUAGUGCUUAGUGUUGCUCCCUUAGAAAUUCUUCCCUCAAAGCAUCCUGGGGGUCAGCUCAGCCUCAAGUCACUUUGGGACCUCAGGGACAGAUUUUGGGGGGUGGUAAGAAAUGGCAACCAGGUUGGGUGUAGGAUGACCCCUGAGAAAAGCAGUCAGAAGUCCAGAAUAUUAUAUCCCAAAGCACUGGAAAUCAGGCUGACUUCACUGUUUUUGUUCCUGGACUAUGGUCAGGUUCUAUUAUUGGCCAUGUCAAUUGGAGCAACCAUUUGGAAAGUCAUUUGGCAACAUCUCCCAAAGCUGAAUAUACAUGAAGCCUAGGAGCCAGGAAUUCCACUUCCAGGAUAUGCCCAAUAGAAAUGAAUACAUAUGUUCACCAAAAGGCGUGUCCUAGAAUGUUUAUAAUUGUGAACAGACCAAAGCUAGAAACUAUCCAAGUGUCCAUCAACAAUGGAGUGGGAAAUAAAAUGUCUCUUCGUACAAUGGAAUCUACAUAGCAAUGAGAACAAAGAACUUACAAAAGUACACAGCAACAUGGAUGAAAUUCACAAGCAUAAUUCCGAACAAAAAAUGCCAUGUACCAAAAAGCUUAUAGCAUAUGACUCCAUUUAUGUACAGUAGAAAAACAGGCAAAACAGCUAGCCUGUUAGAAGUCAGAAUGGUGGUUACCCUUUGAGGGGCUGUUCCUAGAUGGGGACUCAUGGGGUAAUGUUCAUUCCAUGUCUUGAACUGUGCACUGAUUACACUGGUGUGUUUAGCUUGUGAAAUGUAUCCACCUAUACACUUAUGUGGUUUUCUGUAUGUACAUUAUAUUUCAAUAACAUUUUAAGAAAGUGUUUUGCCACUUAUUAGUUCAUUUGACCCACACAACAGUUCUAGGAGAUAAGAAGGCCAGGUAACUUUUCUUCAGAUUUAUAGAAAGAAAACAGACUCAAAGUUUGGUCCAAGGUCUCAGUGCUAAUUGGUGGUGGAAUCAGGUUAGGUAUGUCAACCUCCUGGGCCAAGAAAGAUAGUCUCUGUUGGAGCACCUUGCACAGUGCUUGAUGCAUAGUAGGUGCUCAAUAAAUUUCAUCUGAAGCUGGAUCAUAGAAUGGUGGCCUUCUAAUCCCACAAGGCUGUUAUCCUGCUGUGGGAGUAACCAUCUUCUCUGGUGGUCUAAUGUCCCUUAUAGAAUGUGCGUAUUCUCUCCUAAGAGAAGAGUGGAGAUGAGGCCUGAGUCAAAUAUCCUAAGAAGCUGCCAAAAUACCUGUGGAGAAUUGCAUAACCUUGUCCCUCUAGGGCUUAGAAAAGAAUGAGUCAGACAGUCAGUUCUCAGACACGGUGCCCAGGAAAACAGGAAGAAGGUUCACUUAGGCAGAAAUCCAUGUAUGUGACCUUGGAUACAUCACUGAACUUCUUCAGGGGCAACAAUUUGAAAGACACAUUUGAGACACUCUGCCUAGGAUGACGUGAUCCUUCUGUAGCUGAUCUUCUGAGACCCGUGAAUUUUAUGUACUAUUUUCUAAUUAUAUUCUCAUUAUUUUCAAGGGCAUCAGACUGCAUUUCAAACUUGACAAUUCCUUUGCUAUAAUUUCAGCUCAAAUUUUGACUAAUUUAUACUUUAAAUACAAAUAUGCCCCAUUUUCUGCUUGUCAUCAUAGUUCAGAAAGAAGUUAUACCGACCAUGUUAUAUAAAGUAAUGAGGGGUCCUAUUCAGCUUGUUAACCAUGUUUCUUAAAAAAAAAAAGUACAAUAGAACUUUCUUUGUCAAUAUAAAAUUCGAGUUAUUUAUGAUGUGGCUAAAGAUAUGAUAAGAAGUCUCAGGAAUGGAAUCUGUUAUUGCUUGGAAAAUAAAAUCUCAAGACCUUCUUUGGAAAAAAAUGGAGAGUGAUAAAAUGCUUUCAUUUAGGGCUUGGCUGUGAUGUCAAGGUCAGCCAAUGAGCUUAGAGGGAAUCUGAGAAAAAUAAAGAGAAAAAUAGAAACAGAUGUCUGGAAAAUCUUCUUGAAUAUUGCUGGUGAAAUUGUAUGGUUAGAAGACAAAAUUUCAGUGUUACAUCCAUCAUCCUAAAAAGGUUAUAAUGAAAGCCAUUUAAAUUGGUGUUCAAAAACCUUGUGAGAACUUUGGUUGACUGUAUUCCACCAUGAAGUGCGUUUUGAUCUGAAGUCUUGGUUAGGGUAUUCCUCCAAUAGGUCAGCUGCCAUGGGCCUCCUAUUAAGUCAAAGUCUCUAUUUCAAAUUAGCAUAAGAGAGAACGCUGAUGAAAAGGGGAAUAAGAAUAAAGCUAAAUAAUUGUUUUGGCUUCUGAUUGAUCAGCAUCUAUGUUCUCAGAAGCAAGUUUCUUUUUGCCUCUAGUUGCUGCUGAUGGUAGGAAACAGAAAAAUACCUGUCUUAAAAAGUUGCCGAAGAUGGUCAGUUGAAAGGGUUGAAGAGCCUAACAGAGGAAAUAGAUCACCAAUAAUGGAGCUAAAAAGGAAUGAAAGUAGACAGCUUAGAGAUAGGACCCUUGGAGACACUCAGAUGGAAGGGUUGUCAAAAGGCUAAGCAUAAAAGACCAGGAAGAGCUAUAAUUCUAAUUAAGGUUCAGGAUGGUUUAAAAAGGAAAAUAAUCAAGAUUGGUAAGAAGAGUUUAAACUUAUAGUAGUGAUAAUGAUUUGACAGUUUGUUCUAGAAUGUCUAUCUAUUUUACUGAUUAGUUUUCAAGAGUGCUGUAAUUCAUACUAAGAAAAGUAGAGAAAGCUGAUUAUUUCUAACUCAGUACUACAAAGGUUUGACUUAAUUCUGUUAAAUUCCUGGCUUACUGCUAAUUGUAUGACCUUGGAUAAAUUACUUCACCCCUCCAAGCCUCACUGUCUUCAUCUGUAAAAUGGAGAAAUAGUAGCACCUACUUCAUGACAUCACUUUGAGGCCUCCAUGGUGGAUAUGAAUUGCUUAUUCCAGAGCUUAGAUUAUAUUAAAAGAAUACUACAUGGUUUUUGUUGAUGGUGGUAAUGAUGAUGUCCUUGAAUAUCUUUAAAUUGAGGUGCUCAUCUCUACCUUGUCUUUCAAAAGAUUCGAAGUGUCUUAAGUCCCAAAUAAUAAAUAAAAUUUUAUUUCUUUUUAUUUCUUGUUUAUAUCUCACCUCC
rnacentral:lncRNA from 10 species